AGCGAACGUUUGCGGCGGGCCUAACACAUGCAAGUCGAACGCACUAGCAAUAGUGAGUGGCGCACGGGUGCGUAACACGUGGGUAAUCAACCCUUCAGCCUGGGAUAACGACUCGAAAGGGUCGCUAAUACCGGAUACGGCGCGAGAGGCUUCGGCUUCUCACGAGAAAGCCACGCAAGGGGCACUGAAGGACGAGCCUGCGGCCCAUCAGCUAGUUGGUGAGGUAAGAGCUCACCAAGGCUAAGACGGGUAGCUGGUCUGAGAGGAUGAUCAGCCACACUGGAACUGAGACACGGUCCAGACUCCUACGGGAGGCAGCAGUGGGGAAUAUUGCGCAAUGGGCGAAAGCCUGACGCAGCCACGCCGCGUGAGUGAUGAAGGUUUUCGGAUCGUAAAACUCUGUUGUUAGGGAAGAACAAGUGCCGUUCGAAAGGGCGGCACCUUGACGGUACCUAACGAGAAAGCCACGGCUAACUACGUGCCAGCAGCCGCGGUAA
rnacentral:rRNA from 1 species